AGUGAACGCUGGCGGUAGGCCUAACACAUGCAAGUCGAACGGCAGCACAGUAAGAGCUUGCUCUUACGGGUGGCGAGUGGCGGACGGGUGAGGAAUACAUCGGAAUCUACUUUUUCGUGGGGGAUAACGUAGGGAAACUUACGCUAAUACCGCAUACGACCUACGGGUGAAAGCAUGGGAUCUUCGGACCUUGCGCGAUUGAGUGAGCCGAUGUCGGAUUAGCUGGUUGGCGGGGUAAAGGCCCACCAAGGCGACGAUCCGUAGCUGGUCUGAGAGGAUGAUCAGCGACACCGGAAAUGAGACACGGGCCAGACUACUACGGGAAGAAGCAGUGGGGAAUAUUGGACAAUGGGCGCAAGCCUGAUCCAGCAAUACCGCGUGGGUGAAGAAGGCCUUCGGGUUGUAAAGCCCUUUUGUUGGGAAAGAAAAGCAGCAGGUUAAUACCCCGCUGUUCUGACGGUACCCAAAGAAUAAGCACCGGCUAACUUCGUG
rnacentral:rRNA from 1 species